AUGCCUCCCAAGACACCAUCUUGGAAAGAACACCUAAGUCGAUCAACAUCUGCAGCAGUUACAGAAGUCAAAAGAAGCAGCUAUGACCUCAACCCUCGGGCAAAGAAGGGAGCAACAUUCAUAAAGGACUUUACCACCAAAGAGUCUCAUCUGGAAGAGUCUACAAAGACAAUCUUAGAUGCUGCAUUUCAACCUUUAGCACAAGCCAGCCCUACUGGAAAAUACAAGAACCUCCAAAGACCCAAAUUCUGGACUAGACCUCAGUGUCAAAGUCUACCGACCGAUACACAAACCAUUGAGAGGAAACAGAAUCAAUGUAACCAGUCAAAUAGCAGCAUUUUGAUGGGUAGGUGUCUUUUAGAAGUCAGUCAGAAACAGGAAGCCCUUCAGUCUGGGGUUAAAAGGUCAAACAGCGACAACUCCCAGACAUGUCUGGUGGUACCUCUGACACAGGGGGCCUCCCUCACACCCUCUACCCUGUCAGAGGCCCCUGAGAGAUCAACUAUUAAACAUGGACAGGGCUUGGAUUUGGACCAUUGCCAAAAUAUCAAUAGUGGUCAAGUUACAGAAUCCACCAAACUCAAUCUAGAUGAAUGUGUGCUGCACAGUGGAACCGUUCCCAAAAUGUUCAGCCAAUCACAGAAACCUAUUUUACAUCCUGUCCAAUUGGCUUUGCGAAUGGUGAAGAACAACGACGGAAAUCACAAAGGAGUCCAAGGACUAAGGCCAGUUCAUCUAGAACCCACCCAAACAGGUCCACCUCCACCACCUGACCAUGAGAGGCCCAACAUAAACCCAUCAGAAUAUUUCUCAGAAGAAUGGACUGUGCACUGGCCCCUGUCCAUGGAGCGCAAUGAGCAGCACAAAACACCACAGGUUGGCCCAGAUUCAACAGAGGUCGCUGAGCAACCAUCUCAACCCCAGAGCCAGGGUAUAGACUGCUACAUACCAGGAGAGAUGGAUAUCUCACCAUCACAUGAAUUGGAUCACCCUCUUUCAAGCAUGACAUUUGUUGAUGAAGAGGCAGAGCAAUUACAUGAUGACAUCACCACACCUCCUCGAGUGUAUUUGUCAAUGGGUGAGUAA
ensembl:lncRNA